GUGUAGUUUUUCUUAAAAGUUUUGUUUGAACGGAUCAGAGUUUUUAUAAUUGCAUACGAUUAUCGACUUAUAUAUGUAUUUACAUAUAUCAAACUCUCUUUAAAUAAACAACAAACAUUGGUCAUCUUGUUAUGGACAUUUAAAAAUAUGCACAUAUUUACACCUUGUUCGGCAAAGGUUUCACAUAGUAUAAGUGUAAAGAUUUAAAGAAGGACAUUGCUGUGCAAUCACUACACCGUUAAAUUCGACGACAAGAGGAAACAACCAAAAACCUGACAAGCGCAGAUCCCAGACAGAAACGUUGCCCACCUGCCGACUUGCCGACUAGCCGACCGGGGAACCGAAAUUUGCUUCCGCAGACGAAGAAAACUAAAAAUGCAGAUCCCCGAAUAAGCGUCGUUAUUAUCGCCAAAAUCACGAAAAUCAUGUCGAGUGGCAAGCCCCCACCCCCUUUCAGCAGCUUUGUUUAUUUUUGGCUAAUUCUCUCUGGCUUGCACACUCUACCUCAGGCAGUGUUCGGCUCUGGCAGAAGGGUGUGGGCUAAAAGGGCGUGUUGGUGUGAGAAGUGAUAUACAUAUGUAUGUAU